rfam:Bdellovibrionales bacterium RIFOXYC1_FTLL_39_130 rifoxyc1_full_scaffold_5091, whole genome shotgun sequence.
UCAGUCCCGCCGAGGUAGCUCGAAAGAGGCCUCGUAUCGAGUCUUGCGCUUGUUAGGCAACGAAACAGGUGAAGUGUAGACAGAGAGUCUGUAGGCCAUUAGGCGGGAUAAUGCCUUUAAGCGAUAGAGCCUCGAGAAAUAAUGGUGAUGAGAGGAGGCCCAGCCAGUAUGGGGAAGUGAAGGCAACAGAGAUCGGGAGCAAUAACGAUCUCCUCCUCCGGGGUCCAAGAGCA